rnacentral:tmRNA from 1 species
GGGGCUGAUCGGUUUCGACGGCGGUGACUGCCGAAGGGAAGCGGGUAGAGGAUGCUUGGUCAUCUCUUUAACGAUUCCAAGCGAAAAAAUAACUGCCAACAAGCAGAACAACGACUUCGCCCUCGCUGCCUGAGCGCGAGCGCAUUUCAAUGAAGUCCGUCAGACCAUCCGUGCUUUCCGGAUGGAUUCCUGGCGUCGUUUUAGAAAGCCACUGCUGAUCUGCUAGGAAACUGAGCGGAUCGGGACUUUCAAAGUUUCUAGGUUGGUGAGUGACUUGUUCACGUGAGCACUCCAGCCGAAAACAACGUUGUGUGAACUGCACCCGGAGAAGACUUGGGUUUUGCAUCGUCGGACGGGAGUUCAAUUCUCCCCAGCUCCACCA